GUGUGAAGAAGGCCUUCGGGUUGUAAAGCACUUUUGUUGGGGAAGAAACCGGUCGGAUUAAUACUUCGGCUGAAUGACGGUACCCAAAGAAUAAGCACCGGCUAACUUCGUGCCAGCAGCCGCGGUAAUACGAAGGGUGCAAGCGUUACUCGGAAUUACUGGGCGUAAAGCGUGCGUAGGCGGUUUGUUAAGUCUGUCGUGAAAGCCCCGGGCUCAACCUGGGAAUGGCGAUGGAUACUGGCAAGCUAGAGUGUGUCAGAGGAUGGUGGAAUUCCCGGUGUAGCGGUGAAAUGCGUAGAGAUCGGGAGGAACACCAGUGGCGAAGGCGGCCAUCUGGGACAACACUGACGCUGAGGCACGAAAGCGUGGGGAGCAAACAGGAUUAGAUACCCUGGUAGUCCACGCCCUAAACGAUGCGAACUGGACGUUGGGCACACUUAGGUGCUCAGUGUCGAAGCUAACGCGUUAAGUUCGCCGCCUGGGGAGUACGGUCGCAAGACUGAAACUCAAAGGAAUUGACGGGGGCCCG
rnacentral:rRNA from 1 species